GUUUUUUUUUUCGCCAAUUAUUCACAUUCCGAUUUGAAAUUGCGUUUACGAUUUCAACUUCAGCACAAGACUGUGGAAGAACAUUGGUCGUGUGGUCCAAAAAAAAUUAAAACAAUCGCUGAUUUCACAAAACAAUAGCAACAAAAGCUGAGAAUGAGCUGAGAGAUGGAGAAAAAAUGUGGAGGCCCCUCCCCUACUUCGAAUCGAGCGAGAAUUUGAGAAGAAAAAAAAAACCAUUAGUUCCGUCUUUUGUUUUCGAAACAGAGAGAAAGGGAGAGAGAGAGAGAAAAUAGACAGACACCAGGCAACAGCAACAGCAACAGCAGCAGCAUAAUAACAAAUUUGAAAUUUUCAUAUUGAAAUUUGC